CCUUCGAAAGCUCAUAUGAAGCACCAAGCUUUUAACCUGGUGGGAGGUGCCAUGCAUCUCGAAGGA
rnacentral:tRNA from 1 species